AUUGAACGCUGGCGGCAGGCCUAACACAUGCAAGUCGAACGAGUGGCGGACGGGUGGGUAAUGUCUGGGACACUGCCUGAUGGAGGGGGAUCACUAAUGGACACUGUAGCUAAUACCGCCUACCAUCAGCUGUGCCCAGAUGGGAUUCGCUAGUUGGUGGGGGAACGGCGUACCAAGGCCACGAUCCCUAGCUGGUCUGUGAGGAUGACCAGCCACACUGGAACUGAGACACGGUCCAGACUCCGACUGGAGGCAGCAGUGGGGAAUAUUGCACAAUGGGCGCAAGCCUGAUGCAGCCAUGCCGCGUGUAUGAAGAAGGCCUUCGGGUUGUAAAGUACUUUCAGCGGGGAGGCGUUACCCGCAGAAGAAGCACCGGCUAACUCCGUGCCAGCAGCCGCGGUAAUAC
rnacentral:rRNA from 1 species